GCAUCUUUAGCUUAAUUGGUAAAGUGGCUGUCUUCGAAACAGUAAGAUGUAGGUUCAAGUCCUAUAAGAUGUU